AACGAACGCUGGCGGCAUGGAUUAGGCAUGCAAGUUGAACGAACCACUUCGGUGGAGAGUAGCGGAAGGGUGAGGAACGCGUGAGUAAUCUGCCCCUCAGUUGGGAAUAACAGUUGGAAACGGCUGCUAAUACCGAAUGUGGCUUAAGUUCCGCAUGGGACUUCGGCUAAAGAUUUAUCGCUGAGGGAUGAGCUCGCGUCCCAUUAGGUAGUUGGUGAGGUAACGGCUCACCAAGCCGACGAUGGGUAGCUGGUCUGAGAGGAUGGUCAGCCACACUGGGACUGAGACACUGCCCAGACUCCUACGGGAGGCUGCAGUCGAGAAUCUUGGGCAAUGCGCGAAAGCGUGACCCAGCAAUGCCGCGUGUAUGAUGAAGGCCCUCGGGUCGUAAAGCUCUGUCCUAAGGGAAGAAACGGACGGUACCUUAGGAGGAAGCCCCGGCUAACUACGUG
rnacentral:rRNA from 1 species